CCUACGGGAGGCAGCAGUGGGGAAUCUUGCACAAUGGGCGAAAGCCUGAUGCAGCAACGCCGCGUGCGGGAAGAAGGCCCUAGGGUUGUAAACCGCUUUCAGUAGGGAAGAAAAUGACGGUACCUACAGAAGAAGGUGCGGCCAACUACGUGCCAGCAGCCGCGGUGACACGUAGGCACCAAGCGUUAUCCGGAUUUAUUGGGCGUAAAGAGCUCGUAGGCGGUUCGGUAAGUCGGGUGUGAAAACUCUGGGCUCAACCCAGAGAGGCCACCCGAUACUGCUGUGACUAGAGUGCGGUAGGGGAGCGGGGAAUUCCUGGUGUAGCGGUGAAAUGCGCAGAUAUCAGGAGGAACACCAGCGGCGAAGGCGCCGCUCUGGGCCGUAACUGACGCUGAGGAGCGAAAGCAUGGGUAGCAAACAGGAUUAGAUACCCUGGUAGUCCAUGCCGUAAACGUUGGGCACUAGGUGUGGGUCUCAACCAACGAGAUCCGCGCCGUCGCUAACGCAUUAAGUGCCCCGCCUGGGGAGUACGGUCGCAAGACUAAAACUUAAAUGAAUUGACGGCUGAGCGNGCGAGACGACACGAGGAGAG
rnacentral:rRNA from 1 species